GUUAUUAUUGAUCGCAUAAACCAUGACGGAUUCAAAGGCAUUAGUGAAGAUAAAAGAUGGCGUACCUGGAGCAAUGGUUUGUCCGAUGCUUACAACGUCGAACUACACAGUUUGGGCAAUGAGGAUGAAAGUUCUUCUGCGUGUUCAUAAGGUUUGGGAAACAAUUGAGCUAGGAACAGAAGACGACGAGAAGAAUGAUGUAGCAACAGUGCUUCUGUUCCAGUCGAUACCUGAAAGAUUGAUUUUGCAAGUUGGAGAUCUAGGUUCCCCUAAAGCAAUAUGGGAAGCUAUUAAGACAAGAAACCUAGGAGCAUAACGAGUUAAAUCAGCUCGACUCCAAACGUUGAUGAAUGAGUUCGAUCGUAUAAAGAUGGAUGACUCGGACUCUAUUGACACGUUCUCAGGAAAGAUAUCAGAACUUGCUUCUAAGGCGGCAUCAUUAGGUCAAAGUAUUGAAGGACCAAAGGUCGUGAAGAAGUUCCUUAACAGCUUACCUCCGAAGUUCAUUCAUAUGACAGCUUCUUUAGAGCAGUUGUUAGACUUAAAGACGACUAGCUUUGAAGACAUUAUCGGAAGGCUUAAAGCGUAUGAAGAACGGAUAAAAGGUUAUGAACCGUUUGAACAAAAAGGAAGUCCUCUAUACUCAAAUUCUGAGAAGUCAUAUGAUCAAAGAUGGUCAGAUAAUGGAGGAAGAGGCAGAGGUCAAAACAGAGGACGUGGACGAGGAAACAGAGGUAGAGGUCGUGGCAGGAGCAACACAGACGAGAAAACCAAAGAGAAGAAGGACUAUUCUCAGAUCGUGUGCUAUAAUUGCAAGAAGAAGGGACACUUUGCUUCUGUGUGUACUGAAAAGAAAGACGAGGAAGAGCUCAACAAAGCAGAGACAGAGGUUGCAGAUGAAGUACUAUAUAUGCAUGAGGUAGUGUUCCUUAAUGAAGGCAAGGUCAUGCCUAAGAGACUUGAGUCAGACACGAAGGAAGAUGGUAUCUGGUAUUUGGACAAUGGUGCUUCAAACCACAUGACCGGAGAGAGGUCCUACUUCUCCGAAAUAAAUGAAAACA
rnacentral:lncRNA from 1 species